rnacentral:rRNA from 1 species
CCUACGGGUGGCAGCAGUGAGGAAUCUUGGUCAAUGGGCGCGAGCCUGAACCAGCCAAGUAGCGUGAAGGAUGACUGCCCUCCGGGUUGUAAACUUCUUUUAUAAAGGAAUACAGUGAGGCACGUUUGCCUUUUUGUAUGUACUUUAUGAAUAAGGAUCGGCUAACUCCGUGACAGCAGCCGCGGUAAUACGGAGGAUCCGUGCGUUAUCCGGAUUUAUUGGGUUUAACGGGAGCGUAGAUUGUUUGUUAAGUCCGUUGUGAAAGUUUGCGGCUCAACCGUAAAUUUGCAAUUGAUACUGGCAGCCUUGAGUACAGUUGAGGUAGGCGGAAUUCGUGGUGUAGCGGUGAAAUGCUUAGAGAUCACGAAGAACUCCGAUUGCGAAGGCAGCUUACUAAACUGCCACUGACAUUGAUGCUCGAAAGUGUGGGUAUCAAACAGGAUUAGAUACCCGUGUAGUC